rnacentral:rRNA from 1 species
GAGUUUGAUCCUGGCUCAGAUUGAACGCUGGCGGCAGGCUUAACACAUGCAAGUCGAACGGUAACAUGAGUGCUUGCACUUGAUGACGAGUGGCGGACGGGUGAGUAAUGUAUGGGGAUCUGCCGAAUGGAGGGGGACAACAGUUGGAAACGACUGCUAAUACCGCAUAAAGUUGAGAGACCAAAGCAUGGGACUUACGGGCCGUGCGCCAUUCGAUGAACCCAUAUGGGAUUAGCUAGUUGGUAGGGUAAUGGCUUACCAAGGCGACGAUCUCUAGCUGGUCUGAGAGGAUGACCAGCCUCACUGAAACUGAGACACGGUCCAGACUCCUACGGGAGGCAGCAGUGGGGAAUAUUGCACAAUGGGGGGAACCCUGAUGCAGCCAUGCCGCGUGUAUGAAGAAGGCCUUCGGGUUGUAAAGUACUUUCGGUGAUGAGGAAGGUGACGUAUCUAAUAGGUAUGUUAAUUGACGUUAAUUACAGAAGAAGCACCGGCUAACUCCGUGCCAGCAGCCGCGGUAAUACGGAGGGUGCGAGCGUUAAUCGGAAUGACUGGGCGUAAAGGGCAUGUAGGCGGAUAAUUAAGUUAGGUGUGAAAGCCCUGGGCUCAACCUAGGAAUUGCACUUAAAACUGGUUAACUAGAGUAUUGUAGAGGAAGGUAGAAUUCCACGUGUAGCGGUGAAAUGCGUAGAGAUGUGGAGGAAUACCGGUGGCGAAGGCGGCCUUCUGGACAGACACUGACGCUGAGAUGCGAAAGCGUGGGGAGCAAACAGGAUUAGAUACCCUGGUAGUCCACGCUGUAAACGAUGUCGAUUUGGAGUUUGUCGCCCUGAGUGAUGGGCUCCGAAGCUAACGCGAUAAAUCGACCGCCUGGGGAGUACGGCCGCAAGGUUAAAACUCAAAUGAAUUGACGGGGGCCCGCACAAGCGGUGGAGCAUGUGGUUUAAUUCGAUGCAACGCGAAGAACCUUACCUGGUCUUGACAUCCACAGAAUCUUUCAGAGAUGAGAGAGUGCCUUCGGGAACUGUGAGACAGGUGCUGCAUGGCUGUCGUCAGCUCGUGUUGUGAAAUGUUGGGUUAAGUCCCGCAACGAGCGCAACCCUUAUCCUUUGUUGCCAGCGAUUAGGUCGGGAACUCAAAGGAGACUGCCGUUGAUAAAACGGAGGAAGGUGGGGAUGACGUCAAGUCAUCAUGGCCCUUACGACCAGGGCUACACACGUGCUACAAUGGCGUAUACAAAGGGAGGCGA